GGACUCCAGCCCUGCCCCAGGCUCCUGUGUGAGAGCUCCCUUGCAAGGCAGCUCUGAGGGCUGUGGACGGCCACUCGGUGGAAGUGUCGCCACCCACGCCUUUCUGGUUUGACUGGAAAACAAGGCCCAUCCCACCUAUCAGGAUGCCUGAGAGAAGGAUCUGGCCGGAUUCUGCAGGCCGCCAGGCUCCCAGGCUGAGCCUUCCACCUGCUCAGGCGAGAGUGGGGGUGGGGCAGGUAUCUCCAGGUGACAAGCAGGCCUCCCUCAGGGGAGGGAGAGAGAGGUCACCUCGGCCUCUCACAGGCAUCUCAGCUAAGCAGGUGCAGCCUGGGCUGAUGGCAGGGUGGACAAGGAUGGGCUUCCGAGAGUCUGGCCUUGCUUGCCCCCAGUGACGGGAAGCUCAGCCCCUCCACUGUCGUCAUGAAGCUUCCUCUUGGAACCUGGGCUCGGGCUGUAGUCUGGGCUUCCUGGCCCAUGACAUCUCAGAGUGUGGGAACAGGGUGGGCCUCAGUCCCGCCCAUGAGUUGGGCGUCAGAUGGGAUCCCCCUGGCCUCCUCAUCGCUGCCCCCAUCCCCGCUGUCACACUUCCCACUGGGUCCCCACGGCCUUCCUGCCUCUGGCCCUUUAAGGCCCAGGCAGGAAGCCCCUCCCCAUUUAGGGCAAUAAAUGGACACGUAAAAUGGC
ensembl:lncRNA novel transcript, sense intronic to ZBTB7A